GUUGGGCUGUAAAAUAAUGGCCAAUCGAGACUCACCAUUAAACCAGUUGUUACAGCAAUUCCUCUACCACAAUAUGUAUUAGGAACGAUAUCACCAUAACCAACAGAUAAAAAUGUAAUAGCUGUUAACCACAUGGUAUUCAAUAGAUUGGCAUGUUCUUUAUCAUGGUUCCUGAAAAAAAACAGAACAUUAUUUUAAUGGCUCGAGGCUUCAACUACUCACAAAACCUGUGUUCAUGCAUAAUCUCCAAUCUCAUAAAUCUGCAAUGUUUCAUUUCUGGUUUUAUUAACAAGUUAUGCCGAUGGUAAUACUCUGAUCUUUUGAGAUAUGAUUGAAACAAUCAAUAUUAUCAACAAUGGAUGAAAGACGGAACACAAAAGUCAAAUAAUGACAGGAAAAGAUAGGCAAAAUCAACAAAGAAUACAUUUGUAUAUAUUCUCAGAUUAUAAAGGAGACGAUAAAGCAAUUGUAAGGAACAAGCGAGUCGAGUCAAAAACAGAAGUCUAUUCAUUCCAGACUAGAGCUGAUAAUAUCAAACUGGUAGCAAAUAUUUCCAAACCUAUCACUUAUCAAAACUAAUAACUUUUCAAAGACAAGUGAUAUUUUAAUUCCAAUCAAACGGAAAAUUUAAUGUUCAUCAAAAUUUUGAUAAACUUGAAAAAGACAGUUUCUUCAAUCAUCAUCAUUGGCACUUCAAGAAAAUUGAAGACAAUUGAUAACCCAGUUCAUCCAUCGCUACAUAAUUCCAAAGUGUUAAAAUUCCAACUGAAUUAACCCAAGUUUCGUAAAAGGUUCUGGAUCAAUAUGAAUCUCUCAAUUAUAUGGAUUUUCUGGUUUCGAGAACCAGAAAUUUGAUCUUUCAAUAUUUACAUUUUGACUGAUCUGUUUAAAUGCUUUAUCGCACAACCAAUUUGUGCAACAUUUAAAAUGAACGCAUUUUGAUCCUUCCUCAAUGGUUAUCUAAUGAUGAACCAAAAAUUGUCUGAGCUUCCAUGUAAUGACUCUCAGACCAUUUGCCUUUCCUGAGUUUUCUUGUUUUUCCGCGAAUCUGUUGAUAAUUGAUAGACUUGAUUAAUUUGAAUGUUGGAAACCUGAGAAGUAAAGCAUUUUGUUUAUUCUUGUA